AUUUGCAUCGACAUGCGAAUGAUAGAGAUUGUUGAUUAAGUGAUCUCAUUCCAUUAUUUUAUUUUCAAAAUAAAUGUUACAAUGAUCUUUAUUGAAACUAAUUUCAUAAUCAUCCUGUGCUAAGCAUGAAACAGAAAUCAAAUUUUUGCUUGCAUUAGGUACACAAUAACAGUCUCUUAGUUUUAGACAGCAACCAGACGG
rnacentral:lncRNA from 1 species